AUAGGUUUAAGAAGAUAUUAAAUGCAAAUGUAUGUCACUAUACUAUCCAACACAUUUAGAAUAACUUGCAUCAACUUAAGUUUGUCCGUUUUUUGAAAUGUUAUUAAUUUAUUUAGCAGCGGUCAACUUUCAAAGCAUUAUUUUUUUUAAAGGAUUUUGACGAAGUAAUUGGAACGCAAUGGUCAAUUUUGUUUUGAAUACAUUUACCCACCGGGUGAUUUAAUUAUGAUUUAUAAUAAAAGAAAACUCGUUUUGAUUGAGUCUGUUCGUGAGAGGCAAUGAAAUUUGCAACACCCCUCACGCCCUCCCCUCCUCCCAUAGGCUGUUAUAAUGUGCAGAAUACUGUUAUAGUAAAGCAAAUUCAAACACAGGGAGAGCUUUUACAGCCGACACAUGGCACGCACUAAAAUCUGCUGUUGUAAUAGUUAAUUAAAAUUGUUAUCAGAUCUUUUAAAAGCAAACACCGCAACCAAGCAAAAUAAUAGCAGAUUGUUUUUGUGUUUAUAAUUUAUUAUUAUUUAUGAUAGUAAAAAAUGAAUGAUAAUUAAUACUGAUACACGUCCAUCUUUUAUGUUCAGACGGUCUCGAAAAUGUAGAAAGUCUGCGAGAAGUACAUGCACAACUGCGAUACAUUGAUACACAACUAGAGAGGGUCAUCGCUUGUUUGUCCGAUAUGAAAACGGCAAUGGAAGUCAUCUUGGAAACACUAUCUACAGAUCAUUCAAUGCUGAAUGUUUCCCUUUUCAGCUUCAUAGAAUAAAAACUACAGUUUAGGCUUGGAAUGGUAUUGGUUUGAAAGCUUAUGCACGAAUUAUAGAAAUGAAAGCGAUUUACAGAUGAAACAAUUGCAUGACUUUCUGAAGUAUCCAAUCAAUAAAAUGUCUUUCGAAGAGCGCCUAGCGCGCAAACAGCGACUUUUCACAAAUAUUGAAGAAGAAAUAAGGAAUGAUCUUCCCAAAGAAAGUGAUUAGGACAACGAAGCCUGCAUGUUGUCAUUGUUGUUAUAGACUGAAACACUUGUUUACAUUAUUUUCUGGAAUUAACUUGCCAUGUUUUAAAAUACUUCAUAUGUACAACAGUAUAUAGAUUUAUCCUGUAUAUAUCCAUUUUUAGAUUUAGAUCUAUCCAUAUAUAUAUUUCAAAAAAAUAUAGCUGUUCCACUAUCACAAUCAGACUGGAGUUUUCGAUCUUCCUAAAGGUUGAAUUUGAAGACACCCAAUUCAAAUUCAUUUUCUGUAUAUUAAGCAGAUUUCCAAUAUUGCUAUUUUUAUUUCCACCAAUCUAUUUUUAUUUGAACCAAUCAGUCGAAUCGUUUCAACUAGCGUUUGGCUAAAACGGACUGGACUCAGAUUUUGUCUAAACUAAUUUUGCUUUAGAAUAAAAGUUUCGUCAUAUUAUGA